rnacentral:rRNA from 1 species
AUUGAACGCUGGCGGCAGGCCUAACACAUGCAAGUCGAGCAGAUGAAGGGAGCUUGCUCCUGGAUUCAGCGGCGGACGGGUGAGUAAUGCCUAGGAAUCUGCCUGGUAGUGGGGGGUAACGUCCGGAAACGGGCGCUAAUACCGCAUACGUCCUGAGGGAGAAAGUGGGGGAUCUUCGGACCUCACGCUAUCAGAUGAGCCUAGGUCGGAUUAGCUAGUUGGUGGGGUAAAGGCCUACCAAGGCGACGAUCCGUAACUGGUCUGAGAGGAUGAUCAGUCACACUGGAACUGAGACACGGUCCAGACUCCUACGGGAGGCAGCAGUGGGGAAUAUUGGACAAUGGGCGAAAGCCUGAUCCAGCCAUGCCGCGUGUGUGAAGAAGGUCUUCGGAUUGUAAAGCACUUUAAGUUGGGAGGAAGGGCAGUAAGUUAAUACCUUGCUGUUUUGACGUUACCAACAGAAUAAGCACCGGCUAACUUCGUG